rnacentral:lncRNA from 1 species
UAAAUCAGAGUUUUCAGUUUAAAAAUAUAAAAAUAACUUAGUAUUUUGGUUCAUUAAGCACAAAUUGUUUAUCUCUCUAAAAGUCAAUCUUAUUCCUGAACUCUGCUUUCUCUCUAAAUUCAUUCAUUAUUGAAUCAUUUGUUCAUCAAUCAGGAGAUGUUUAGGAAAUCUUUGAGUCGUGAGCUUUAAUCUGACCUGUCCAUUUCUUUUUCUGCCACCGGUAAGUAGUUUUCCCUCUCUUUCGUACAUCUUAGGGUUGUAAUACAUGCAACAGAUUUGGGAUUUCUUGAGCACUUUACUUCUUCCUUU